UUCCUACGGGGGGCAGCAGUGAGGAAUAUUGGUCAAUGGUCGGGAGACUGAACCAGCCAAGCCGCGUGAGGGAUGAAGGUACAGAGUAUCGUAAACCUCUUUUGUCAGGGAGCAAAAGACGCCACGCGUGGCGUUCCGAGAGUACCCGAAGAAAAAGCAUCGGCUAACUCCGUGCCAGCAGCCGCGGUAAUACGGAGGAUGCGAGCGUUAUCCGGAUUUAUUGGGUUUAAAGGGUGCGCAGGCGGAAGAUCAAGUCAGCGGUAAAAUUGAGAGGCUCAACCUCUUCGAGCCGUUGAAAC
rnacentral:rRNA from 1 species